rnacentral:lncRNA from 1 species
AUGUUGAAAGCUUUGUAUUUGGUUGUGGCCGAAGCAACAAAGGUUUGUUUGGUGGAGCUUCUGGUCUAAUGGGUUUGGGAAGAAGCUCAGUCUCUUUAGUCUCCCAAACCAUGAAAAGUUUCAACGGUGUUUUCUCAUACUGUCUACCUUCUCUUGAAGAUGGAGCUUCAGGCUCACUAUCCUUCGGUGAUGAUUACAAGAACUCAACCUCAGUUUCAUACACUCCUUUAGUGCAAAACCCUCAGCUUAGUUCCUUUUACGUUCUGAACCUCACCGGAGCUAGCAUUGGUGGCGUGGAGCUGGAGUCUUCAAGCUUUGGUAGAGGGAUUCUAAUCGAUUCAGGAACGGUCAUCACUAGGUUGCCGCCUUCCAUUUACAAAGCUGUGAAGAGAGAGUUUCUAAAACAGUUCUCUGGGUUUCCUUCAGCUCCAAGCUAUUCAAUCUUAGACACUUGUUUUAACCUCACAAGUUAUGAAGACGUCAGCAUACCAACUAUCAAAAUGAUCUUCCAAGGUAACGCUGAGCUUGAAGUGGAUGUCACUGGUGUGUUCUACUUUGUCAAGCCUGAUGCAUCUCUAGUCUGCUUGGCCUUGGCAAGCCUUUCAUAUGAAAACGAAGUCGGUAUUAUUGGAAACUACCAACAGAAAAACCAGAGAGUGAUAUAUGAUACCAAACAAGAGAAGCUUGGGAUAGCAGGAGAAAACUGCAGUUUCUGAUGUCUAUCCAAUGACUUGUAUAAUAAGCUUUGUGUGUUCCCCCCCUCAUAUCAUGAAAGCCAAUCAUCUUUUUUGGUAAAGUCUUUGAAACAAAAAAUUAUAAAGUAGAAAAAUAAUCAAAUAAAGAAAGAUCAUUUUAUAUUAAGAGUAAUAAAACAAAUCCCACUAUAUAAAAGGGACUAAUUGAGAAAGAUAUGUGUAGAUACUGUAUCUUUGCUUUAGUUUAGUAUUUAAUUGCGUGAUUUAAGGGUUAGAUUAGCAAAAGCCUCAACAUUUGUAAACAUUUUAAUUAAAGUCAUUACCUUUACAUUACUUUUCUUAGCUCCCUUUCUUUCAAUUGGGAUUAGUAAUAGUACUAUAGUUGUUUUUCUAAAGCUUUACACAUGUAUUUAUAGAAUCUUAAGAUUCUUUCCUCCAUAAGAGAACACUCAUCUAACAUAAAUGUUUGUAUCUUUUGCUUGUAAACUCUGUUUCUAAUCAUCUGUUUUUGAUAUCCCCUUGUUGACUCUUUAUUUUUGUUUAAAAAACUUAGGCAAAGGAAGAGAAUCAUCCACUACACUGGAGAUGAAACAUAGAGAAAUUUGCUCAGGAAAGACUAUAGAUUGGGGUAAGAAGCUGAGAAGAGCCUUGACUCUAGACAACCUCAGAGUCCAAUCAAUUCAGCUAAAAAUCAAAGCCAUGAGCUCAAGCACCACAGAAUCCAUUUCAGAAGCUCAGACUCCACUAACCUCAGGGAUGAAGCUUCAGACUCUGAACUACAUUGUCACAGUUGAUCUAGGAGGGAGAAACAUGACUUUGAUCGUCGACACUGGAAGUGACUUGACAUGGGUCCAAUGCCAGCCUUGCAAGUCAUGUUACAACCAACAAGGUCCUUUGUAUGACCCAUCAGUCUCAUCUUCUUACAAGACAGUGUUCUGCAACUCAUCAACUUGUCAGGAUCUUGUAGAAGCAACAGGCAAUUCAGGCCUCUGUGGAGGUAACAAUGGUGUUGAUAAGACGACUUGUGACUACGUUGUCAGCUAUGGGGAUGGAUCAUACACUCGUGGAGACUUGGGAAGUGAAAGUAUCCAACUCGGCGACACAAAUGUUGAAAGCUUUGUAUUUGGUUGUGGCCGAAGCAACAAAGGUUUGUUUGGUGGAGCUUCUGGUCUAAUGGGUUUGGGAAGAAGCUCAGUCUCUUUAGUCUCCCAAACCAUGAAAAGUUUCAACGGUGUUUUCUCAUACUGUCUACCUUCUCUUGAAGAUGGAGCUUCAGGCUCACUAUCCUUCGGUGAUGAUUACAAGAACUCAACCUCAGUUUCAUACACUCCUUUAGUGCAAAACCCUCAGCUUAGUUCCUUUUACGUUCUGAACCUCACCGGAGCUAGCAUUGGUGGCGUGGAGCUGGAGUCUUCAAGCUUUGGUAGAGGGAUUCUAAUCGAUUCAGGAACGGUCAUCACUAGGUUGCCGCCUUCCAUUUACAAAGCUGUGAAGAGAGAGUUUCUAAAACAGUUCUCUGGG